rnacentral:rRNA from 1 species
UACGUAGGGGGCUAGCGUUGUCCGGAUUUAUUGGGCGUAAAGAGCGUGUAGGCGGCCAGGUAGGUCUGGUGUGAAAACUCGAGGCUCAACCUCGAGACGUCGGUUGAAACCGUCUGGCUAGAGUCCGGAAGAGGAGAGUGGAAUUCCCGGUGUAGCGGUGAAAUGCGCAGAUAUCGGGAAGAACACCCGUGGCGAAGGCGGCUCUCUGGGACGGUACUGACGCUGAGGCGCGAAAGCGUGGGGAGCAAACAGG